UGGACCCCGGAGGGUCCGAACUGUCUCAGCGGAGAAAGGGGACAUAGUGUGCUGGCGGGCGCUGGCUGUUGGCGUUAGAGCUCCGGCUGUGGCUCAGUCUGGGGCGCGGUUCUUGCCAACACACCAUGUCCAGAGACAGCUGACAAAAAAACUAAAUUGAAACCAGCUCUGGAUGGGAUAACAACACAGGGUCAUACUUACUUUACGGCAGGCACGUUAUUCGCCUUCUUACUCGCACUUACCGCUAUGGAUUCGCUCUUCAGGGGGCACUGAGACAUCCUACAGUGCCCUGGACGGCCCACCCCAACCAUGGUAUCCGUUGUCCAACAGUUUUGGAUACCCCAGAAUCGUCUCCCCGUUCCCCCUCUACAGCAUGGUGCACUACCCCUUCCUUACCUUAAUGAUCUACUCUUCCAUAGCGAAAUGAGAAUACUAAGCCAAGUGGAAUUUCAUUUCUACGUUAUAAAAGAAAAGUGCCUUUGUUGCGUCUGUCAGAUCGCCGGACUGGAAUGCUUCGACGACGGCUCCCCUGGAUAGCAAGACAAUUUGGUAGCGGAGGUGCCCUGGAUCUCCCUUUUUAUGUUCUUGCCAACCUGCAGGGACAACAUUAAACGACCAAAGGGUCUUUUAUUUAAAGUGUAUUCCUAGUGCCCUAGAAUGAGCUCACCCUACUUCCUAGGUUGUAUCGUCCGUUCAAUCACCGGACUGCAGAUAUGAAACCCAAUGUCUACCCUGUUUGCUGCCUAAGUUAUUCUGUUUUCUUUUUUUUUUUAUUUCUUAUAUUUUUAUUCCAGGAUGUGUGUCAAGCUAAGUUUCUCUGUGUAUCGUUCUAAGUAUUGAACAUAUAAAAAGGAGCAUACAUCGGCCUACCUUGGCACCUACGGGCUGCUGGUGCAAAAUUCCCUCGGGGACACUGGAGCAGAUGGCGGCGGUGGAACCAAUGAUGAAGCUGGAGAUGCUGAUGAGAUGAUGAUGUUGUUGAGGAUGGAAAUGUUGACGUUGCCGUGGAUGACGAUGGUUAAAAUUGCAGUAGAGGUGGGUAUUUAUUAUUUGACAAAAAGUUUUUGUUGUUCUGUUUAGUCUUUGCUAUGUUUUAUUCGUGGCUCAAAUUAACGUUCUUUUUCAAAGCUUUUUAUAUUUCACAGGAUCUUUUUUCUUUAGCAUUAAUUAGCACUAAUAAGUUUAUUUAGCUUUAAGUUGAUCUAAAGUAACUUCAGCUUUUUUACUACAAAAGCUAGUCUUUAUUCCUUUCACAAAAAAAGGAACAUUUAUUUGCUUUUAAAUAAAAAACUUUAUGCCUUUGGCAUCACAUAUUC